GCCAGGGUGGUGUAGUGGUUUGAGUGUUGGACUAUGACUUUGGAGACCAGGGUUAGAUUCCCAGCUUGGCC